rnacentral:rRNA from 1 species
AGGGUGUAAACGCUGCAGACUUGGUGUUGGAGGCCCUUUGGGGGCAUUCAGUGCCGGAGAGAAGUUGUUAAGUCUGCUACUUGGGGAGUACGUCCGCAAGGAUGAAACUUAAAGGAAUUGGCGGGGGAGCACCGCAACGGGAGGAGCGUGCGGUUUAAUCGGAUUCAACACCGUAAAACUCACCAGGGAAGACUGUUACAUGAAGGCCGAGAUGAAGACUCUGCUAGAUUUUCAGAGAGGAGGUGCAUGGCGUCAGUGACU